rnacentral:tRNA from 1 species
GGUCGUAGCUCAGUGGUGGAGCACUUGCUUAGCAUGCGUGAGGCACUGAGUUCAAUUCUCAGCACCA